UCCCGUGUUGGCGUCCUUCGUUUCAUAAAAGCAGAGCGAGGUGCACGAGGCCAUAGCCCGGAGGUACUGCGACGUGGUUGGUGCGCUGGAGAUUGCUGAGACUCCGCACGUUCCUUUGUUGCUACUCUAGGACUCCACUAGCCAGACUCCGCCAUGGGGAGUUACUGGUCUGCCGAAGCCGAUCCCAACGCGGAUCCCAACGCAACCGUCGACAUGGCCACUGGAGACUGUAAGUUGUAUUUGAUCAUUUGAU